rnacentral:rRNA from 1 species
UGAGGAAUAUUGCGCAAUGGGCGAAAGCCUGACGCAGCGACACCGCGUGAAGGAUGAAGGCUUUAGGGUCGUAAACUUCUGUUAAGUGGAAAGAAAAAGGUAGUUAUAAUACAGCUACGUAAUGACGGUACCACUAGAGAAAGCACCGGCUAACUUCGUGCCAGCAGCCGCGGUAAGACGAGGGGUGCAAACGUUAUUCGGAAUGAUUGGGUGUAAAGGGUGCGUAGGCGGUAUGCUAAGUCAAUCGUUAAAUUUUUCGGCUUAACCGAAAGUGAGCGGUAGAAACUGGUGUACUUGAGAAUGAGAGAGAGAAGUAGAAUUCUUGGAGUAGCGGUAAAAUGCGUAGAUCUCAAGAGGAAUACCAAUGGCGAAGGCAGCUUCUUGGCUCAUUUCUGACGCUGAGGCACGAGAGCGUGGGGAGCAAACAGG